AACGAACGCUGGCGGCAUGCCUAACACAUGCAAGUCGAACGAGACCUUCGGGUCUAGUGGCGCACGGGUGCGUAACGCGUGGGAACCUGCCCUUAGGUUCGGAAUAACUCCCCGAAAGGGGUGCUAAUGCCGGACAAUGUCUUCGGACCAAAGAUUUAUCGCCUUUGGAUGGGCCCGCGUUGGAUUAGCUAGUUGGUAGGGUAAAAGCCUACCAAGGCGACGAUCCAUAGCUGGUCUGAGAGGAUGAUCAGCCACACUGGGACUGAGACACGGCCCAGACUCCUACGGGAGGCAGCAGUGGGGAAUAUUGGACAAUGGGCGAAAGCCUGAUCCAGCAAUGCCGCGUGAGUGAUGAAGGCCUUAGGGUUGUAAAGCUCUUUUACCCGGGAUGAUAAUGACAGUACCGGGAGAAUAAGCGCCGGCUAACUCCGUG
rnacentral:rRNA from 1 species